rnacentral:rRNA from 1 species
UGGCUUAGGAUGAACGCUAGCGACAGGCUUAACACAUGCAAGUCAGGGGCAGCAUAAAAGUAGCAAUACUUGGUGGCGACCGGCGCACGGGUGAGUAACGCGUAUGCAACCUACCUAUCAGAGGGGAAUAACCCGGCGAAAGUCGGACUAAUACCGCAUAAAACAGGGGCACCGCAUGGUGAUAUUUGUUAAAGAAAUUCGCUGAUAGAUGGGCAUGCGUUCCAUUAGGUAGUUGGUGAGGUAACGGCUCACCAAGCCGACGAUGGAUAGGGGAACUGAGAGGUUGGUCCCCCACACUGGUACUGAGACACGGACCAGACUCCUACGGGAGGCAGCAGUGAGGAAUAUUGGUCAAUGGGCGGGAGCCUGAACCAGCCAAGUCGCGUGAAGGAAAAGAAGGAUCUAUGGUUCGUAAACUUCUUUUGCAGGGGAAUAAAGUGCAGGACGUGUCCUGUUUUGUAUGUACCCUGAGAAUAAGGAUCGGCUAACUCCGUGCCAGCAGCAGC